UCUGGCUUAUGGCCAAGCGGUCUCACUAGAGUGCCCAACUUAAUGCUGGCAACUAGUGACGAGGGUUGCGCUCGUUGCGGGACUUAACCCAACAUCUCACAACACGAGCUGACGACAGCCAUGCAGCACCUGUCACCGCGUCCCCGAAGGGAACCCCCACUUUCAUGGGGUAGCGCGGGAUGUCAAGCCCAGGUAAGGUUUUUCGCGUAGCAUCGAAUUAAACCACAUGCUCCACCGCUUGUGCGGGCCCCCGUCAAUUCCUUUGAGUUUUAAUCUUGCGACCGUAAUCCCCAGGCGGGAUACUUAAUGCGUUAGCUGCGUCACCGAAACUAUUAGGAAUUCCGACGACUAGUAUCCAUCGUUUAGGGCGUGGACUAC
rnacentral:misc_RNA from 1 species